GCUUAGGUUCUCGUCGCAAAUGUCAGCGACGCGGACAAACAUUGACAGAUUCUUUCGGCGGUUCAGAGCGUAAAGAUGGGAAAUGAGUGAUUUCUCUAACUUUAAUAUAUAUUCUAAAUAACAGAGGAGCUCAAAGCAGAAGGGAUUAACGCAGACAUGGAUCAGGAGUUUGAGGAUAUGGAUUCAGAGAGCCGCUGGCAAAACCUUUAUUUAGAGAUACGCAACCAGUCACACGAGUGUGCUUUCAAAGUAGCCAAGUAUCCAGAGAAUCGCAACCGCAACAGAUACAGAGACGUCAGCCCAUUUGACCACAGUCGGGUGAAAUUAGAAAACACAGAGAAUGACUACAUCAAUGCCAGCCUGGUGGUAAUGGAAGAGGCUCAAAGAAGGUACAUCCUUACCCAGGGUCCUUUGAGAAACACAUGUGGUCAUUUUUGGCUGAUGAUCUGGGAACAGAAGACCAAAGCAGUUAUCAUGCUCAACAGAGUAAUAGAGAAAGGCUCGGAAAAGUGUGCACAAUACUGGCCAACACAAGAGGAGCGUGAGAUGUCGUUCCGUGACACCCGCUUUGUGGUAACACUAGUGUCAGAAGAUGUCAAAUCAUAUUACACCAUCAGACUGCUGGAACUGCAGAAUGGAAAUACAGGGGAGACAAGAGAGAUCUACCACUUUCAUUAUACCACAUGGCCAGACUUUGGCGUCCCAGAUUCCCCUGCCAGUUUCCUGAACUUCCUGUUUAAGGUGCGAGAGUCUGGAUCACUCGGGAUGGACCAAGGUCCGGCAGUGGUCCACUGCAGUGCAGGAAUCGGGCGCUCUGGAACGUUCUCUCUGGUCGACACCUCUCUUGUCUUAAUGGACAGGAGGAAAGACCCAUUGGCGGUAGACAUCAAAAAGAUUCUGCUGGAUAUGCGGAAGUACCGGAUGGGUCUGAUUCAGACUCCCGACCAGCUGCGUUUCUCCUACAUGGCUGUGCUGGAAGGAGCCAAAUACAUUAUGGGAGACUCCUCUGUUCAGAAACAGUGGCAAGAGCUCUCCAGAGAGGACCAGGAGCCUCUGUCCGAGUCCCCUCCGCCACCGCAGCCUCCUAAGUGCAUGGAGCGCUUUAACGGCAACAAGCUGUCUCGUCUGGAGGAUGGUAUGGACACAAAAACAACAAAGAAAACAGGUCUGGAGACCCCCAAUAAAGAGCCAGACAAAGAUGCUGGAACACAUGGUCGUAAGAGGCCGAGGGAUGAGAAGAUGCCCAAUUCUACACAGAAGAGUCAGAAACAGACGAAACCCAGGAUCAACGACCCGGAUAAGAAAAGGAAAAGUCUGGGCUGUAUUUGCUGUACGUGACACAGCGAGUGCUGCCUGUUGGGACAUCUUCCCAAUAAGGCAGCUGUGGUGAAUCUCCAGGAUUUUUGUAAAGUUUUCCCCGGCUCCUCUGAAUCCUCAGACUAGCAAAAACAACCAGUGACUCUCAACUUCAUGGCAACCUCAGCUAGAGACCUCCAUCCCAUAAUGUUCUCCAUUCGCCUAUGUUUUUUAAACCGUUUACAGCAUGAACUUGAGGAGAAAAGAUCUCCGCACAACAGCACACACCAGCACUAUUACAGUGGAUGAAACUCAAUAUCAAGGAGUGCAUCACCAUGGUUUGAACUGGUUUUUAUUUCAUCUGACCUGUUUUGUGUAAUGUUUUUUUUAUUAUUAUUAUUCUUGCUUUUUGUGUUUGGUAGAAAAAAGCAGCAGGUUCUGAAGUAGACCUAUGCAUUUCUAACGCUGUUUAUACAUUGUAUUUUUAGACAACUUUUUCAGAGACAAAAUGCUCUAUUUUUUAUAAGAAAGUACUUGAAAUUUCCUAUCAUAUCUGCAGGGCUGUAUGCUCGUCCAGUUUGUGAGAUUGUAAGACGUCUUACGCUCGAGUGCUCACAUUGUGUACAUAGUGUACCUUAUGAGAUGUAAAAAAAAUUGUACAAAAUCAUGAACAGACAUUUGAAUAGACACACCAAACAAACCAGCAGUGUCUGAUAUUAAAGUGUCUUACAUUUCUUUAUCAAAAAGUAGGAUCCAUAAAUAAAAAUUGGUAUCAUUUAGUUUCUUUAACAAUGAGUUGCUUUGUCCAAUUAUUCAGAAGAGCUUAUUUAAAAUAGUCCUAUUGCUCAUACUUUACCAUCACUUUUCAUUAUCUCUUCUUACUGUUAGAUCAGUUUGUUUUUCUUGCAGAUUUCUCAAAGAAAUGUCGGUCCAGGUCAAACCCAAUAGUUUAUUUAAGGUGCCAAAGAAUGGAUUAAUACUAUGGGCCCUAUCUUGCACCCAGCGCAAUUGACUUUGUCAGUGACGCAUGUAUCAUUCGUAUUUUGCGCCGGCGCACAGCAGGGUUUUCCCUCCACAGAUGCACGUCAGCAAACUAGGGAAUGAACUUGCGCUCCCUGGGCGGUUCAGCGCAAAAAGGAGGCGUGUUGCGGCGCAAACCAUCUCUUAUGCUAUUUUGCAGUUUCAAAAAACAAUUGCGCUACUAACCAAAAAAAACUAGUCUAAAGUCAGUGGCGCGUUGCGCGUGGUUCAUUAUGCUAUUUUAAGGGCGCAUGCUUGACCAUAAUGUAUAGCGUGCACAACGCGCAUACACUUUGCUUA